rnacentral:pre_miRNA from 1 species
UUAACUCAAUUUUGUAUGGAGUUGAAACGUUUGCCGCUAGGGGCGCUGUUCCAACUGCAUACAAAUUAAAUGAA